CGCGACCUCUGCCCUUAGUCUUAAUGACUCUCGGCAACGGAUAUCUCGGCUCUUGCAUCGAUGAAGAACGUAGCGAAAUGCGAUACUUGGUGUGAAUUGCAGAAUCCCGCGAACCAUCAAUUCUUUGAACGCAAGUUGCGCCCGAAGCCAUCCGGCCGAGGGCACGCCUGCCUGGGUGU
rnacentral:rRNA from 3 species